UCCGCCCUCGGCCCCGGCCCCCGCUCCGAGCUCCCUUAGCUCUAAGCGGUUCCGGAAGCUCCCGCCUUUCUGGACACGCCCCUGCCUCCCCCACAGGAUUCCGACUCUCUCCCGGCUCGUCGAGGGCUUGACAUUUUACCGGGGGGUGGCCCAGAAAAACCUCGUAGAGAUGCCAUGGCAACAAAGGGCCUUGUGCUCACUCUAGCAGAGCGUCCUGCCUUUGUCUGUGAUCCAGCCUGGUGCGUCAGUCUUUGCAAACAAAAGAUGUGACCACCCGGCCGCCUAUCCCUGCCCCCACCAAAGCAGUAAUGGAGGCUGAGGCCUCUCCAGUUGAGCCGAGCCAGGAGAGCAGCAGACAGUUCUGGAGGCUGGGAACCAAGAUCAAAGGAUGGGAAGAUUCGGUGUCUGGUGAGGGCCUGCUUCCUGGUUCAUUGACUGUCUUCUUGCUGUGACCUCACUUGGCAGAAAGAGGGCUAGAGAGUUCUCUGGGGGCCAGGCACUGUGGCUCACACCUGUAA
rnacentral:lncRNA from 1 species